AUUUCUAUUUUUCUGAGAUGGAAAACGGCUCAUGAUUGCCUGUUCCCCCAAUGAGAGCAUCGGUGGAGUCAGGGAUCUCCUGCAGUACAUCUGGUACUAUCAGAUCUAUCAAGAGAGACUCGGCUUAGGCAAUGCAUCCAGCAACCUACAGAUAGUAAAUGGAGAUGCCAAAUCCAUACUGAGACUUAGCGAGGUGGCUUGAGGCAAACAAAUACAGGUCUGACAGAGAUGCUGCAGUGUGGUUCGAAAGAUAACAUGCAUACCCAAAAAUUGAUGGAGCUCAAUGAAGUAAUGAAGGAGAGCCAGUGAGUUUCACUGGUAUCUGUGUCAGCCAGGAUCUCCUCAUUCCAGAAGAAGAACUGCAGGGGUCUAGGGUAUCCUUGUGUAUCAACCAGGAAAUGGAGAAGCCUGUUCUAAGUUCACUUGAAGCCAAAUUACAAAGGAGCAGACGGGAUCCCAGAAACAAAGAUGGCACCAGCUACGAUUUAAGAUUCCAAGAUGAAUCUGGAGUGGACCAAGAUCUGGUGUAGAGACUUACACCCUGUAUCAGCCAGCUGCCUGUGACAGCGACAAACAUCUGAGAUGGGUCAAUUUAAGGCGAGGAACUGGGAGAUGGCCCGGAUGGUAAAGCAUUUGCUGUGUAAGAAGGAGAGACUGCCUUCAGGUCCCCAGUACCAAGGUAAAAAGCUGGCUGCAG
rnacentral:lncRNA from 1 species